rnacentral:lncRNA from 1 species
UAGCAUCGGACUGUCCGGCUAUCCAAACGGUCGACAAUGAAUCUUCCAACGGUCGACUGCUACAGCCCUCAACGGUCGAUAAACGUGGCAAGGGUACUGGACUGUCCGGGGCGCCCGAUGACAGAAACAACCAAUUUUCUGUCCAACGACUAUAAUGGAGGGGAGGCUAUUUAUACCCCUCUAACCAACCAUUUGAAGGUGUGGGAGCCCAAGCAACAUACCAACAUAUGUUAUAGACAUUUUCAAGUGCUCAUACACCCAAGUGCUUAAUAGAAUCACUCGGUGAUUAGCGUAGGUGCUUUGUGAAAGUGCUUAGGUUAGCUAGACGACUUAUGUGCUUGCUCUAGGUAAUUCCUAGUUAGUUGAGUGAGUUUAGAAAACCCACAAAAACCCCUAAGCCCUUGUGUGAACUGUUGUAAUUGUAUAGAGUGGGGCGAGAGUCGCGAGACCAUGAGAAUCGAGUUUGUGUCACGGUCGCCACCAUGUAUCAGGGGGAACGAGGCCCACGACGUUUCAGUCGGAAGCUCGAUAGAGGAUAUGGUGAGGAGUGUAGAGGAGCCGA